rnacentral:rRNA from 1 species
GACGGACGCUGGCGGCGUGCCUAACACAUGCAAGCCGAGCGGAGUCAGUAAGAGGAAGUUUUCGGAUGGAAUCUUAUUGAUUUAGCGGCGGACGGGUGAGUAACGCGUGAGCGACCAACCUUGCACAGGGGGAUAACGGACCGAAAGGUUCACUAAUACCGCAUGAGACCACGGUGUUGCAUGACACAGAGGUCAAAGGAGCAAUCCGGUGCAAGACGGGCUCGCGUCCGAUUAGGUAGUUGGAGGGGUAACGGCCCACCAAGCCUAUGAUCGGUAGCCGACCUGAGAGGGUGAUCGGCCACAUUGGAACUGCGAUACGGUCCAAACUCCUACGGGAGGCAGCAGUGGGGAAUAUUGGGCAAUGGGGGAAACCCUGACCCAGCAACGCCGCGUGAAGGAAGAAGGUUUUCGGAUUGUAAACUUCUGUCCUUGGUGAAGAGAAGAAGACGGUAGCCAAGGAGGAAGCCCCGGCUAACUACGUGCCAGCAGCCGCCGUAA